CAGGAGCUAGCAUCUGCCAAAUGGCAUCUCCACGGGAAACCUGUGUUUGAUGCUCUGACGCACAAGGUCGCUGAGACGUUGGCACAUGGACAAAGAUUAAUGGAACCACACUUGCAGGCAACAAAAGAUAAACUGCUGCCUGUUGCCAAAGCUCAUUUCAACUCACUGAAAAACAGUGCUGCCUACAAAGCCUGCAGAGAUACCAUG